rnacentral:misc_RNA from 1 species
UUGAAUCCUUAGGAUGCUGCUGGCCUUUAGGGGCAUGUGCACUCCACCUUUCAAUCCACCUGUGAACUUAUUGUAGGCCAGAUGUUAAAGUCUGUGUCUAUGUUUUUACACACCCUUAUAAAAGUUUAUAGAAUGUCUAAUGAUAGACCUUUGAUGGUCAGAAAUGUUAAUA